GAUGAACGCUGGCGGCGUGCCUAAUACAUGCAAGUCGAGCGAAUGGAUUAAGAGCUUGCUCUUAUGAAGUUAGCGGCGGACGGGUGAGUAACACGUGGGUAACCUGCCCAUAAGACUGGGAUAACUCGGGGAAACCGAGGCUAAUACCGGAUAACAUUUUGAACCGCAUGGUUCGAAAUUGAAAGGCGGCUUCGGCUGUCACUUAUGGAUGGACCCGCGUCGCAUUAGCUAGUUGGUGAGGUAACGGCUCACCAAGGCAACGAUGCGUAGCCAACCUGAGAGGGUGAUCGGCCACACUGGGACUGAGACACGGCCCAGACUCCUACGGGAGGCAGCAGUAGGGAAUCUUCCGCAAUGGACGAAAGUCUGACGGAGCAACGCCGCGUGAGUGAUGAAGGCUUUCGGGUCGUAAAACUCUGUUGUUAGGGAAGAACAAGUGCUAGUUGAAUAAGCUGGCACCUUGACGGUACCUAACCAGAAAGCCACGGCUAACUACGUGCCAGCCGCCGUAACAC
rnacentral:rRNA from 1 species